AUUUCUUUCUGGUGAGUGAGAGGCAAUGCUUGAGUUGGAGCUCUUCCUGUGGCCGGGAUAUUGAGAAGUCACCCUGCAAAGAAGCCCUUGGCGAGCUGUCCCCAAGAAUGACAACGGCGAUUUGAAAUUUCUGACUUGUAACCUCGGGGACCUGCAGACGUGGAACCCUUCAGGCCAAGACCACAAGGUCUCCCAGCAGCCCCCAGACGCCUGUCCAGGCAGACUCUCUCCGUCUCCAUAUACCACACGCAUGUUCUAUUUAUAUGUUUCUUUGUCCUGAACAAGAUUUGGCCCCAUUGUGUGGGAGCAACACCAGAAAAGAAAAACACAAUUCACCCACAGAGAGAAAAACAGAGAUUGUGGGAGCUUGGAGGAAUUUACAUACUCUGCUUGCUUCAUUUUCGGGUGAUGUCAGAGUCAUGGAAUAUGCCUUUGAAAAACAUCACACACACACACACACACACACACACACACACGCACACACGCUCACCAGCUACGUCAAGUGGAUUGUCAUUAAAAGGAGAAAUGUAAACACUAGCUUCUCUGCCCCUCCCCUCCAUUUCCUUCAUCAACCGCUAAAGAACCUAACAAAUUAGUCCAGACUGCAUUUGGAUGGAAUGAAAGGCCUGUCUGCAAAGGAGGAGGGGUG
rnacentral:lncRNA from 1 species